AAUCAUUCAGUAAAAAGAGCUGAGCAAAGCAGGCACAGCUGGACAAAAGGCAGCAGCGAAAAGGGCAGUAAAUUUUCCAAAAAAAAAGUAUUUGAAUUUACAAAACAAUUAGCGAAAUAAUGAGCACAGGUGGCACCGGAGGCGGUGCUGGGGGCGGUGCACGUCCACCACCCCGAAUCGAUGGCAUGGUCUCGCUAAAGGUCGACAAUCUCACAUAUCGCACCACGCCCGAGGAUUUGCGUCGCGUCUUCGAGCGCUGCGGCGAAGUUGGGGACAUUUACAUACCACGCGAUCGUUACACACGUGAAAGUCGCGGAUUUGCUUUCGUGCGUUUCUAUGACAAGCGCGAUGCCGAGGACGCACUGGAGGCCAUGGAUGGUCGCAUGCUGGACGGCAGGGAGCUGCGUGUGCAGAUGGCGCGCUACGGCCGUCCCUCGUCGCCGACGCGCCGCAACAGCAGCAGCAGUCGCCGGGGCGCCGGCCUCGGCGCUGGCGCCGGCGGCGGUGCCGGAGGGGGGGGACGUCGACGCUCGCGCUCCCGCUCGCCGAUGCGUCGCCGUUCGCGCAGUCCGCGCCGUCGCUCCUAUUCGCCGCGCUCGCGUUCCCGCUCCGCGGGCAGCCGUUCGCCCGGCGGCCGGCGCGGCAAAUUCUCGCGCAGUCCGCCCGUGCGCGGCGACAGUCGCAACGGCGUCGCCAGCGCCGCCUUGGCCGGCGCAUCACGCAGUCGCAGUCGUUCCUAAAGACGCCGGCUCGCUUCAGACGUUCCAUACUCGUAGGUGCGAUAAGCCUUGAUUGACUCGUUGACAAGGGUUUCCGGGCAAGUGCUCAACCGGGCAACUGAAACAACUUCUCAUGCUGUGUACCAGAACAGCAGGCAAGUGUGCGCGGCGUUUGUUGCAGUCGUUGCUGCCGUGUGGCUGUUAAUGUAAAUGUUAUGUUAUGGCCGGCGAGUCGUGCGUGGGCAAGGCAGAGUCGGUGAGCGAGAGAGAGAGAAAGAGAGAGAAAGAGAGCGCGGAAGCAAAGCAGCGUGUGAGCUUUCUUUAUUUUUACUUCUUUACAAACUCACUGAGAGAGCGGCGCCAAAGCAGGCACAACGAGAGCGGAGAGCUGAACGUCGCGUCGCUGAUGCUGCUGUUGCUGCUACUGUUGCUGUUAACUGCAAAACUUCGCUGCGCUGCUGAUGCUGCUGCUGCUGCUGCUACUUCGAUCUUCCCCACACACACGCGCGCCCACACGCGCACACACACAUUGUUGCUGCUGUUGAAGCUGUAGUUCGUGGCUCGACGUCUGCGUCUGCCGAAAUGCUGCUGUUGCUGCUCUGCUGCAGAUGCUGGCGUCCUUGUCUGCCUCAACUGUUUCGCUGUUUAGUUUGCCGUUGGCGUUUCGCUGCUUCACUUCUUGUUCGGUUCGCACUUGUUGCUGUUGCCUGCCGGCGUUGUUGGUGUUUCCUGCUGUUUCCUGUCUAGCGAUUGGGGCCUACUUUUGACUUUAGCGAAAUUUGUAGCUGAUACGCGGACCGCGCGAAUGACCCCCGCCACCCCGGAACAGCCCCAUGCAACGGUGUGCGGAGACUUGUGAACGUCCAGUUGGAAUGCAACAGGUAAGUUUUGCAUUAACAUGUGCAGCUAACAUUUGCAUUCUAUUACAGCCAAAUGCCAAUUAAAUGAUAUAUAAGAUGAAUUAUGCAAAUUAAAUAAAACUUUUCAAU